AGCUACAUCCGUCACCUGACACGGCCCUACCAGGAACAGCCGCGCUCCCGCGGAUUCUGGUGCUGCUCGCGUCCCCGCUCCCCUAUUCCCCUUAUUUUAUUCCUGGCUCCCCUCGUCGAAAGUCUUCCAUUCUUCAAACUAGAUUAUUUAAAAAUGAAAAAGGAAGAAAGGAAAGCGAGGUCAUCUCAUUGCUCUAUCCGCCAAUCAGGAGGCUGAAUGUCAGUUUUGAACUAAAAGCCGCUCCGCUCCUCUUCUAGAUUUGGAAAACAAGCGAAAUUAAACUAAACCGCUGCACGCCUCUGACGCGACAUCUGGACACGGCGCGGCGCUGGCGCUGCCGGAGCUGUCGACCCGGCCUGGCGCCGGACUAGUGUCCCUUUUGAUGAGAAGAAUAAGCCUCAUUCUGAUUCAACAGCAGAGAUCAAAGAAAAGACUUCUGUUUUCUGGCCACCAGAUAUAUGUUAUCUGUGCUUAAAGAAUUGAAAAACACACAUCAAAGGAGAAUUUUCUUGGAAAGAGAGGGUUCAAGCAUCACUGUUAGGUGUGCUGGAAUCCUUUCCCGAGUCAGUACUGCUUUCUAGAAGAAAACCGGGGAGAUCUAUUUGGAAUGUAUCUAACUCCAAAGAAACCAUCAGAGGUAACAGUAGAGACGGGGUUUCACCAUGUUGGCCAGACUGGUCUUGAACUCUCGACCUCGUGAUUCGCCCGCCUCGGCCUCCCAAAGUGCUGGGAUUACAGGUGUGAGACACCACACCCGGCGGAUAGAGAGAAUUUUGACAGAUUGGCUUCUCUCACAUGGCAAGAAACAUUGCUGCUAGCACUUCCCGAGUUCUACGUUCUACAACAUCCACCACUGCUAUGUCUCACAGUCCAGACUUGGAGUACAAGUAAUAAGAAGAAUAAAACUUAAUCCCUUAAGUAGAUUCACCAUAAGUUAGCUCAGAGCAAUUCCAGUGCAAGUAUGGUCUGUGAUCCAGUAGUAUCUUACAGACAGCAAGUUGAACAUUGUGGGAUGCAUGAGCUAUUGAGGCCUUUGCAGCUUUCUGCUACAUGGAGGCUAGGGCCAGAGUCAAGAUUUAUGCUUUGCAGCACACUGGUCAGCUGUUUUUGCAAAUCAGAUUAAAUGAUUUUUAAAUGAGGCUGAGAGCAUGGGAGAUACUAAUGUGUGUUUCCUUGUGAGCUACUGCAUAAGUUAGGAAAUUGAAAUACAGAAAGAUGAAAAGUGAUUUGCCCAAGCAUAUAGAUCAAAGCUGUGGCAGAACCAGGACUGGAACCUAUAUCUCUCUACUAAUGGUUUUUUUAAAAAAAUAACCUUGUUUCAAAAAUAUUAAAAAGUCACAAGAAAGGUAAACAUGUGGAUAAACAAAAUGAAGAAAAUAAAAAUUAUCCAGUAAUAACAUAUUGGCAUAUGUCUUUCUGGUAUAUUUUCCUGUGUUGUCAUCAUUAUCAUCUCCAUCAUCAUUAUAUCCAUCAUUAUCAUCAUCAUCAUCAUCAUCAUCAUCAUUAUCAUCACCAUAGUGAACAUGUAAUGCUUACCUAGUGCCAGAUGCUGUCUAGGCAUUUUACAUGUGUUACUGGUAACUCAUGUAAUCCUCAUAACAACCUUAUAAGGUGGUUGCUAUUAUCCCCAUGUUACAUAUGAAGAGACAGAAGCAUAAAGAAGUUGCACCGCUGGUAAUUGGCUGGGAUUUGAACUUAAGCAGUCUAACCUUAGAGUAAUGAUUUUAACAACUAUGCUAUAUACAUACAAAUUUACAAAAUAAAACUGGGCUCAGACAAUAAAAA
rnacentral:lncRNA from 1 species